rnacentral:ncRNA from 22 species
UUCUUAUCAAGAGUGGCGGAGGGACUGGCCCAAUGAAGCCCGGCAACCGGAAAAAGGUAGGGGUGCCCUUUUUCUUGGUGCCAAUUCCAGCAGGUAUUUUUUUAAAAUACCUGGCAGAUAAGAA